AUUGAACGCUGGCGGAAUGCUUUACACAUGCAAGUCGAACGGCAGCACGGGGGCAGCCCUGGUGGCGAGUGGCGAACGGGUGAGUAAUACAUCGGAACGUGCCCGGUCGUGGGGGAUAACGUAGCGAAAGUUACGCUAAUACCGCAUACGAUCUGAGGAUGAAAGCGGGGGACCUUCGGGCCUCGCGCGAUCGGAGAGGCCGAUGUCAGAUUAGGUAGUUGGUGGGGUAAAGGCCUACCAAGCCGACGAUCUGUAGCUGGUCUGAGAGGACGACCAGCCACACUGGGACUGAGACACGGCCCAGACUCCUGCGGGAGGCAGCAGUGGGGAAUUUUGGACAAUGGGCGCAAGCCUGAUCCAGCCAUUCCGCGUGCAGGACGAAGGCCUUCGGGUUGUAAACUGCUUUUGUACGGAACGAAAAGGCUCUGGCUAAUACCUGGGGCUCAUGACGGUACCGUAAGAAUAAGCACCGGCUAACUACGUG
rnacentral:rRNA from 1 species